UACGAAGGGGGGCUAGCGUUGCUCGGAAUCACUGGGCGUAAAGCGCACGUAGGCGGAUCUUUAAGUCAGGGGGUGAAAUCCUGGAGCUCAACUCCAGAACUGCCUUUGAUACUGGGGGAUCUCGAGUCCGGGAGAGGUGAGUGGAACUGCGAGUGUAGAGGUGAAAAUUCGUAGAUAUUCGCAAGAACACCAGUGGCGAAGGCGGCUCACUGGCCCGGUACUGACGCUGAGGUGCGAAAGCGUGGGGAGCAAACAGG
rnacentral:rRNA from 1 species